AACGCAUAUUGCACUCCCUGGCAUUCCGGAGAGUAUGCCUGUUUGAGGGUCGGUCGAAUAAAAAUCGACGUCUUUUUUUCGUCGGAAUUGGGUCGUUCUUUUUUUUUAACCGAAGUGACCUAAAAUUGAAAUUUCUUUUUUUUCGAUGAACUCGUCUAAAUUUUUUGUGGGUUCGUCUUAAAAAUGUGCAUUGAACGUGACCAUUUUUUUGUGGUUGAUCGUGUUCAUGAUUUUUUUUCACAAUUCGACCUCAAAUCAGGUAAGAGUACCCGCUGAACUUAA
rnacentral:misc_RNA from 1 species